UAACACGUAGGAUCCGAGCGUUAUCCGAAUUUACUGGGCGUAAAGCGCGUGUAGGCGGUCAGGUAAGUUGGACGUGAAAUCUCCUGGCUCAACUAGGAGAGGUCGUUCAAAACUGCCGGACUAGAGGGCGACAGAGGGAGGUGGAAUUCCCGGUGUAGUGGUGAAAUGCGUAGAUAUCGGGAGGAACACCAGUGGCGAAGGCGGCCUCCUGGGUCGCACCUGACGCUAAGACGCGAAAGCUAGGGUAGCAAACGGGAUUAGAAACCCCGGUAGUCCUAGCCGUAAACGAUGUAGACUUGGUGUCGGUGGUGUAAAAGCCAUCGGUGCCGUAGCUAACGCGAUAAGUCUACCGCCUGGGGAUUACGGUCGCAAGACUA
rnacentral:rRNA from 1 species